GACGAACGCUGGCGGCGUGCUUAACACAUGCAAGUCGAACGGUGAAGGGAUCAGCUUGCUGGUUCUGGAUGAGUGGCGAACGGGUGAGUAACACGUGAGUAACCUGCCCCCUUCUUCUGGAUAACCUCAUGAAAGUGUGGCUAAUACGGGAUAUUCUGCGCCUGCUGCAUGGUGGGUGUGGGAAAGAUAUUGUUUCGGUGGGGGAUGGGCUCGCGGCCUAUCAGCUUGUUGGUGGGGUGAUGGCCUACCAAGGCGGUGACGGGUAGCCGGCCUGAGAGGGUGGACGGUCACACUGGGACUGAGACACGGCCCAGACUCCUACGGGAGGCAGCAGUGGGGAAUAUUGCACAAUGGGCGCAAGCCUGAUGCAGCGACGCCGCGUGAGGGAUGGAGGCCUUCGGGGUGUGAACCUCUUUCGCCAGUGAAGCAGGCCUGUCCCUUGUGGGUGGGUUGACGGUAGCUGGAGAAGAAGCGCCGGCUAACUACGUG
rnacentral:rRNA from 1 species